GCACUGCUGAGGAGUCCCACAAUAGGACGAAACUUCGUCCAGUGC
rnacentral:hammerhead_ribozyme from 1 species